rnacentral:rRNA from 1 species
GAGACAGCAGUAGCCACGGUAAUACGUAGGGUGCGAGCGUUAAUCGGAAUUACUUGGCGUAAAGCGUGCGCAGGCGGUUUUGUAAGACAGGCGUGAAAUCCCCGGGCUCAACCUGGGAAUGGCGCUUGUGACUGCAAAGCUAGAUUGCGGCAGAGGGGGAUGGAAUUCCGCGUGUAGCAGUGAAAUGCGUAGAUAUGCGGAGGAGCACCGAUGGCAAAGGCAAUCCCCUGGGCCUGCACUGACGCUCAUGCACGAAAGCGUGGGGAGCAAACAGGAUUAGAGACCCCCGUAGUCCCUGUCUCUUAUAC